rnacentral:pre_miRNA from 1 species
UAGCGUGCUUUUCCACGGCUUUCUUGAACUUGGUACUCAGGUCGAUUUCUCUCCCCCUCUCUCUCAUAUCUCGCUAUCUGUAAGCAAUAACAGAUGCAAAGCACAUCGAUCACAUCUCAGUACAAAGCUCAAGAAAGCUGUGGGAAAACAUGAAAC